GAUGAACGCUGGCGGCGUGCCUAAUACAUGCAAGUCGAGCGAACAGACGAGGAGCUUGCUCCUCUGACGUUAGCGGCGGACGGGUGAGUAACACGUGGAUAACCUACCUAUAAGACUGGGAUAACUUCGGGAAACCGGAGCUAAUACCGGAUAACCUUUUGAACCGCAUGGUUCAACAGUGAAAGACGGUCUUGCUGUCACUUAUAGAUGGAUCCGCGCCGCAUUAGCUAGUUGGUAAGGUAACGGCUUACCAAGGCAACGAUGCGUAGCCGACCUGAGAGGGUGAUCGGCCACACUGGAACUGAGACACGGUCCAGACUCCUAAGGGAGGCAGCAGUAGGGAAUCUUACGCAAUGGGCGAAAGCCUGACGGAGCAACGCCGCGUGAGUGAAGAAGGUCUUCGGAUCGUAAAACUCUGUUAUUAGGGAAGAACAAAUGUGUAAGUAACUAUGCACGUCUUGACGGUACCUAAUCAGAAAGCCACGGCUAACUACGUG
rnacentral:rRNA from 1 species